UACGUAGGGUGCGAGCGUUAAUCGGAAUUACUGGGCGUAAAGCGCACGUAGGCGGAUCGUUAAGUCGGGGGUGAAAUCCUGGAGCUCAACUCCAGAACUGCCUUCGAUACUGGCGAUCUUGAGUCCGGAAGAGGUGAGUGGAACUCCUAGUGUAGAGGUGGAAUUCGUAGAUAUUAGGAAGAACACCAGUGGCGAAGGCGGCUCACUGGUCCGGUACUGACGCUGAGGUGCGAAAGCGUGGGGAGCGAACGGG
rnacentral:rRNA from 1 species